rnacentral:rRNA from 1 species
UACGUAGGGGGCGAGCGUUGUCCGGAAUCAUUGGGCGUAAAGCGCGUGUAGGCGGCCCGGUAAGUCCGCUGUGAAAGUCCAGGGCUCAACCCUGGGAUGCCGGUGGAUACUGUCGGGCUCGAGUCCGGAAGAGGCGAGUGGAAUUCCUGGUGUAGCGGUGAAAUGCGCAGAUAUCAGGAGGAACACCAGUGGCGAAGGCGGUUGCCUGGGGCUUUGCUGACGCUGAUGCGCGAAAGCGUGGGGAGCGAUCCGG